rnacentral:lncRNA from 14 species
AGUCUCUCCUCCUUUGGAUGCCAGACAGCUUGAGCAGCAAAAGCUUUUCUCCAAGAAGAAACAUUUACUUAGCCUUGGUCCCCUAACCAGAAAAGAAGUUUGAGGCACCAAAGCUCUUACUCUACAAGGAACAACAAAGAAUGAUGGUGACUUGGCCAAAUAAAGAAGAGUAAUCAUGACAUCAUAAGGAAUUUGACCAAAAGGAUAGCAUGCAUUUGGAGGAGCACUGGUUUUAAUUUCUGAGCUGAUGAGGACAUGUUGCAAUAGGAAAACUGGAAGACGUGCAAAGAAAGAAUCUAAAAUGAUUGUUUUAACUGAUUUCAAAGCAUUAUCCAUCUGCUUCAAUGCAUGAGGAAGAUUCUGGAUGGAGGAAAGGGGAACUUGAGGUUGAGACCUGAGUCAAAGGGUUUGGCAUCGAAGUAAUGCUAUUUUAACCAGGGAAAUGAGUCCUGGAAGAAGUCAUUCCAUAUGGCACAAACCAGCACACUCCUCUUCUCUGUAAGCAAACACUCCAAGUGCAACUGGUUAGCAAAUAAAUAGCAGUAAGAGAACCA